ACAUCAAAUCUGGCCAGUGUAUAAAAGAGACUGAAUCAGAGCGGAACACUCUCCCAAAACACUGUCUAACUGGCUUAAGUAUUUUGCUUCUUGACACAAGAUGCAAUGCAUUACACUGAAUGAUGUAUUUGUUUUCCAAAACACACCCACCUCCUCCAAUUCCUGAGCGGUUCACAAUGUUUUCAGAUGGAGAAACCCCUCAUUUUUUCAUUUUU